CUUUUCUUGGUUUAAUCAUAUAAAUAAUGAGUACGGAAUUACAACUAAUUGAUGUUAUAUUAUUUAAUCAUGUCUAAUAAUUUUUCUCCUCAGUAGCUUUAAGAAUACUGCUUUAUGACUAGGUAAUUGAAAGGACAGUUAAAAACAAAAUUUUUCCCACUACUGUUGAAUAGUUUUCUUCAGAAUGUCACCCUGCCUUUUAUUGCACCCUGUAAUAAAACUACUUGAAUUGCUAAGAAUGGGGAAGAGAUUGUUUCUGAUGAUUUUCCACACUUUGACCCUCCCCAUUGUAAAAGUAAUUGGUGAAACCACUUUGAAUUAGUUUGUUGUUAAAUGGUUGUGUAAGUUGAAAUUACUUAAAAAAUUGCUUUUGUGCUUCUCUAAUUGGUUUGUUUUCUUGCUGGGAGGAUUGCUGUUAGUACUUUUCUGUUAGUUUGAAAAGGAUAUUCCUGUUAACAACAUCUCUCCACACAAGCUCUGUUGGAUAUUUGAUGCCAGUUGCACUUUGUAUUUUUGAAAAUAAUUUGAUUUAAUAAGAAAAUAUGAAGAUUGAAGACAGCAACAAACUUUGUGUUCAGCCACUUGGACGAGAUGAACAAGGGAAUAUUUAUUGGUAUUUUUAUGGAUUGCGUCUUUAUAGAGAAGAAUGUUCCAUACCACCAGAAAGUCUGAAAAUGCUGUGGUUAGUUGUCAUUUUU